AUUGAACGCUGGCGGCAGGCCUAACACAUGCAAGUCGAGCGGAUGAAGGGAGCUUGCUCCUGGAUUCAGCGGCGGACGGGUGAGUAAUGCCUAGGAAUCUGCCUGGUAGUGGGGGAUAACGUCCGGAAACGGGCGCUAAUACCGCAUACGUCCUGAGGGAGAAAGUGGGGGAUCUUCGGACCUCACGCUAUCAGAUGAGCCUAGGUCGGAUUAGCUAGUUGGUGGGGUAAAGGCCUACCAAGGCGACGAUCCGUAACUGGACUGAGAGGAUGAUCAGUCACACUGGAACUGAGACACGGUCCAGACUCCUACGGGAGGCAGCAGUGGGGAAUAUUGGACAGUGGGCGAAAGCCUGAUCCAGCCAUGCCGCGUGUGUGAAGAAGGUCUUCGGAUUGUAAAGCACUUUAAGUUGGGAGGAAGGGCAGUAAGUUAAUACCUUGCUGUUUUGACGGUACCAACAGAAUAAGCACCGGCUAACUUCGUG
rnacentral:rRNA from 1 species